rnacentral:rRNA from 1 species
GUGUACAGCCAUUCCACCCUGAAUAAACCCUAUCUCAUCUGAUCUCAGAAGCUAAGCAGGGCCGGGCCUGGUUAGUACUUGGAUGGAAGACAGAUCUUCAGAAAAGACUGCUCAGAGACAAGCAGUUUGGAAACA